rnacentral:tRNA from 1 species
GCCGAGGUAGCCAAAGUGGUAAAGGCGCUUGCCUGAAGAGCAGGUAAGGUACCACCACGUACCUAUGAAGGUUCAAGUCCCUCCCUCGGCG